rnacentral:rRNA from 1 species
CAGUCGCCGCGGUAAUACGAAGGGGGCUAGCGUUGUUCGGAAUUACUGGGCGUAAAGCGCGUGUAGGCGGGUCCUUAAGUCAGGGGUGAAAUGCCAAGGCUCAACCUUGGAACUGCCUUUGAUACUGGGGAUCUUGAGUCCGGGAGAGGUGAGUGGAACUGCGAGUGUAGAGGUGAAAUUCGUAGAUAUUCGCAAGAACACCAGUGGCGAAGGCGGCUCACUGGCCCGGAACUGACGCUGAGACGCGAAAGCGUGGGGAGCAAACAGGAUUAGAUACCCCCGUAGUCCCUGUCUCUUAUAC